rnacentral:rRNA from 1 species
UACGUAGGGUGCGAGCGUUAAUCGGAAUUACUGGGCGUAAAGCGUGCGCAGGCGGUUGUGCAAGACAGAUGUGAAAUCCCCGGGCUCAACCUGGGAACUGCAUUUGUGACUGCACGGCUGGAGUGCGGCAGAGGGGGAUGGAAUUCCGCGUGUAGCAGUGAAAUGCGUAGAUAUUGGGAAGAACACCGGUGGCGAAGGCGGCUCACUGGCUCAUUACUGACGCUCAGGCGCGAUAGCGUGGGGAUCAAACAGG